rnacentral:tRNA from 1 species
AUUUAUGUAGUUUAACAAAAACAUUACAUUUUCACUGUAAAGAUAAAGUGCCCUUUCAUAAAUA